AUUGAACGCUGGCGGCAGGCCUAACACAUGCAAGUCGAGCGAGCGGCGGACGGGUGAGUAAUGUAUGGGGACUGCCCGAUAGAGGGGGAUAACUACUGGAAACGGUGGCUAAUACCGCAUACUAUCGGAUAACCCAUAUGGGAUUAGCUAGUAGGUAAGGUAAUGGCUUACCUAGGCGACGAUCCCUAGCUGGUCUGAGAGGAUGAUCAGCCACACUGGGACGGAGACACGUCCCAGACUCCUACGGAGGCAGCAGUGGGGAAUAUUGAACAAUUGGCGCAAGCCUGAUGCAGCCAUGCCGGGUGUAUGAAGAAGGCCCUAGGGUUGUAAAGUACUUUCAGUCGGGAGGCGUUACCGACAGAAGAGGCACCGGCUAACUCCGUGCCAGCAGCCGCGGUAAUUC
rnacentral:rRNA from 1 species